AAUCGACAGCUGUGACCGUUUUAUUCACAGUUAGUUAUUUAUUAAAUAAUUAUUUUUUAUUGUUAGAAUAUUAUUCUUCUCGAAGUAGUUAUUUUAUAUCGAGUUUUAUUCCACAAACGGGGAAAUUUAUUAAUUUUUUGGAGAAAUUUUCAAUACAUGUAUCCAUCCAGAUAUUUGUUACAUUUUUUAAACUUCUUUUAAUAAUUAAGAAACAGAAAUAGUUUCCAUUUCUUGAUUUGUUUUAUAAACGAAGGAAAAACAAACUUUUUAAUAUUUUUGAAACGUGAAAAUACAAGGUUUAACCGGAUUUAAGAUAAUUUUUUACUUCCAAAUAUAUUCAGGAGCACCUAUCUGCACAUACAAAGGACCAUCGGUAGUUCCUUUACUUAGACGGGAUUCUAACACACAAAAAAAAGUAAAAUUUCUGUCGAUUAAAUAAAAAAGAAAAAAGAAAAUUAGAUUUUCAUUGUACACAGUCAUUUUCCUAUGCACAUUUAAGGGGAAUGUGUGAAGAGAUUGCAUGUUUACUUUUAUUGUUGAUAUAUGCACAUUCGCGACAGCUUCGAUCCCGAAAAAUCAGGGAUUAUGCCAGUUGUAUAUAUUAUAUGUACAAAAUAUGUAUAUGUAUGAAAGACAUAUGGCAUAUGCCAAAAAAAAAUAUUUGUUAAAAAAUAAUAAUAAAAAAAACGACGAGAUUUGGUGGUGUGAAGUUUUAAUUCUGCGUGUUGUUUUUUAAAAUGUGAGAUAAUACGAAGCGAAGCUUAAAAAAUGAUAAAAUUAUUGGUUUAUUUUCUUAAAAACUGUUAUUAGGUUACUUGAAAUUCGUCCAAGAUUCGCUUUAGUAAUGAACUUCUCUAUAUAUCAGUAAUGUAGAAGAUAGUUCAACCACAAUGAGAUCAUUAGUCAGCCUUGUCUGCCAGAUAAUUGAACGUAAAGAUGGCGAAGUGAAGAUAAAACUGCUUUCGUUAGCCAAGGUCGACUCGGAAAAUAAUCCGAGUUCUACAGCACUUUUUUUUAAUUAAAUGUGGAAUAUAAAAAAUAAAGUUAAUUUAAAAUCAAGAAAUAUGGUUUUUAGAGCAAAAAAUAUAGAUAUAAAAGUAAGUCCAUCAUAAGGGUCG
rnacentral:lncRNA from 1 species